rnacentral:rRNA from 1 species
GACGAACGCUGGCGGCGUGCUUAACACAUGCAAGUCGAACGGAAAGGCCCUGCUUUUGUGGGGUGCUCGAGUGGCGAACGGGUGAGUAACACGUGAGUAACCUGCCCUUGACUUUGGGAUAACUUCAGGAAACUGGGGCUAAUACCGGAUAGGAGCUCCUGCUGCAUGGUGGGGGUUGGAAAGUUUCGGCGGUUGGGGAUGGACUCGCGGCUUAUCAGCUUGUUGGUGGGGUAGUGGCUUACCAAGGCUUUGACGGGUAGCCGGCCUGAGAGGGUGACCGGCCACAUUGGGACUGAGAUACGGCCCAGACUCCUACGGGAGGCAGCAGUGGGGAAUAUUGCACAAUGGGCGGAAGCCUGAUGCAGCAACGCCGCGUGCGGGAUGACGGCCUUCGGGUUGUAAACCGCUUUCGCCUGUGACGAAGCGUGAGUGACGGUAAUGGGUAAAGAAGCGCCGGCUAACUACGUGCCAGCAGCCGCGGUGAUACGUAGGGUGCGAGCGUUGUCCGGAUUUAUUGGGCGUAAAGGGCUCGUAGGUGGUUGAUCGCGUCGGAAGUGUAAUCUUGGGGCUCAACCCUGAGCGUGCUUUCGAUACGGGUUGACUUGAGGAAGGUAGGGGAGAAUGGAAUUCCUGGUGGAGCGGUGGAAUGCGCAGAUAUCAGGAGGAACACCAGUGGCGAAGGCGGUUCUCUGGGCCUUUCCUGACGCUGAGGAGCGAAAGCGUGGGGAGCGAACAGGCUUAGAUACCCUGGUAGUCCACGCUGUAAACGGUGGGUACUAGGUGUGGGGUCCAUUCCACGGGUUCCGUGCCGUAGCUAACGCUUUAAGUACCCCGCCUGGGGAGUACGGCCGCAAGGCUAAAACUCAAAGGAAUUGACGGGGCCCCGCACAAGCGGCGGAGCAUGCGGAUUAAUUCGAUGCAACGCGUAGAACCUUACCUGGGUUUGACAUGGAUCGGGAGUGCUCAGAGAUGGGUGUGCCUCUUUUGGGGUCGGUUCACAGGUGGUGCAUGCCUGUCGUCAGCUCGUGUCGUGAGAUGUGGGGUUAAGUCCCGCAACGAGCGCAACCCUUGUUCACUGUUGCCAGCACGUUAUGGUGGGGACUCAGUGGAGACCGCCGGGGUCAACUCGGAGGAAGGUGGGGAUGACGUCAAGUCCUCAUGCCCCUUAUGUCCAGGGCUUCACGCAUGCUACAAUGGCUGGUACAGAGAGUGGCGAGCCUGUGAGGGUGAGCGAAUCUCGGAAAGCCGGUCUCAGUUCGGAUUGGGGUCUGCAACUCGACCUCAUGAAGUCGGAGUCACUAGUAAUCGCAGAUCAGCAACGCUGCGGUGAAUACGUUCCCGGG